rnacentral:snRNA from 1 species
GGCUCUCUACGGAGAUGCCGUUUGAUAAAAUUGGAACGAUACAGAGAAGAUUAGCAUGGCCCCUGCGCAAGGAUGACACAUGACGUUCGAGAAGGAAUGUAAAUUUUUU